UCCGAUAUGGUGUAGUGGCCAACAUGAUGCCCUCUCAUCUCGAUGAGAGGUUAGGCAUAGCCCCGAGUUCGAUUCUCGGUUUCGGAA
rfam:Colletotrichum sublineola strain TX430BB Scaffolds0757.1, whole genome shotgun sequence.